UCCGUGAUUCUCCUUUUGUUUUCCCUCCGCCUCAGGCCGCGCUUUUUCCUCCCCCCCGCGUGUGCCUCUGGCUCAGGGCCUCAGUUUCCCCAUCGGGACAAUGGAGAAGCUUCCUGCCAGGCCAUUGGGCGCCUCCACUCGCCUUGCGAUUGGCCCACUGAGCAGCCUUGUUCCCGCAACGCAAAGAGAGCGGACACCGCGGAGUUCGGAGCUUUGGACAGACGGGAGGGCCUUUUAUUCGCGAGGAUCGGGGGUGGGGUCCUAGGUGUGGAGAGACAAUAAAUACUGAGGAAUGU